rnacentral:rRNA from 1 species
GAUGAACGCUAGCGGCAGGCCUAAUACAUGCAAGUCGAACGGAUAUAUGUUUUUCGGAAUAUAUAUUAGUGGCGCACGGGUGAGUAACACGUACAUAACUUGCCCUCAAGCGGGGGAUAGCCUUGGGAAACUGAGAGUAAUACCCCAUAGAAUUAUUGGACGGCAUCGUUUGAUAAUUAAAACUACGGUGCUUGGGGAUAGAUGUGCGUCUGAUUAGCUAGUUGGUGAGGUAACUGCUCACCAAGGCGACGAUCAGUAGGGGGCGUGAGAGCGUGGCCCCCCACACGGGUACUGAGACACGGACCCGACUCCUACGGGAGGCAGCAGUAAGGAAUAUUGGUCAAUGGAGGGAACUCUGAACCAGCCAUGCCGCGUGAAGGAUGACGGCCCUCUGGGUUGUAAACUUCUUUUGGAUGGGGCGAAAAAACGGGAUUUAUCCUGGACUGACGGUACCAUCAGAAUAAGCACCGGCUAACUCCGUGCCAGCAGCCGCGGUAAUGUAG